AUGUGCGAGAUGUUAGAAGCUGAAGUUUCUAUACAUCAGACGAUUGCUGAUUCUUACAUCACCCAGUCUUUACAACUCCUGGACACAGCUGAAAUAGAGAAGAGGCCAGAAUUUGUCCCAGAAUUCUCAAAGCUGGUGGACCGGUGGCAGAGUGUGGCCCGGGGCAUUCGGCAGAGGAAACGUGAGGUCACUGGGCUGGUGCGGCAGCGGCAGUCCUUCUCCACCGCCUUGGAGGACCUGCUCCGCUUCCUCAGCGGCACCAGCCUCCUGCUGUCUGCGGUGAAGGGCCAGGACCGCUACAGCCUCCUCCAGACCAGAGCUCUGAUCCACGAGCUGAAGAAUAAAGAAGCCCAUUUUCAGAGACGGCAAACCAGCUAUGCACUGGCCUUGGAAGCCGGGGAGAAGUUACUGAACACCUCUGACCCGGAAACGAAAGAAUCGGUUGACGGGAGAAUCCGUCAGCUUCGGGACGACUGGGAGGACACAAAGCUCCAGCUAGGAGAGACGAUUAAACAGCUCCAGAGCACUGUAGAGGUAAGCCACCUUUCAUGUUUCCUUUUGUGACAUUCAAAUCUAGGCUUUCUGGUUGCUAUCAGAACUCAAGCCCUACUCACCCAUGGGUCAUGCCCGUGACUUAAUAAAAUAAUAAUAUAGCAUUGAAAAAACACAGCGGUAAGUGUAUAAGUACUUGAGAUACUAUUAAGAUACUUACUUUUAGCCUGGGUGUGGUAUGGCACUCUCCUGUAAUCCCAGGACUCUGGGAGGCUGAGGCAGGAGGAUUUCAAAUUCAAGUCCUAUCUGACAACCUAGCAACUUAAUGAGAACCUAUUUCAAAAUAUAAAAUAAAAAAAGACUGGGAAGGUAGCUCAGUGCAGAGACCCUGGGUUCAGUCCCCACUACCAGAGAGAGAGAGAGAGAGAGAGAGAGAGAGAGAAAUAAUUACUUUUUUUUUUUUUUGAACCAGGAAUCAAACUCAGGGCCUUGUCCUUGCCAGGUAGGCACUUUGCCACUGAGCUAUUAUCUCCAGCCCAGAAAUAAUUACUUUUAUGAAACUUGUUUACAUUCCGUGGAAAACUAAAACAUAAAGCUGACGUUCUACAUCUGGUCCAUCCUGGUGUAUAAUGUAUAAAAAUACACAUGCUGAUACAGCUUUUUUUGUCUUAUCAUCAGAGAAUACAAAAUAAGUCCAUUUCCCAGAUAAUUUGUAGCAAUACGUU
rnacentral:lncRNA from 1 species